CUGUGGUCUGCCUUUCAGGUAGUCGGUAAUCCAGGAGACUGUAGACGCACCGACACCCAUCACCCGCAGCUUCUCACCUAGUAGCAGUGGCUGGAUGGUGUUGAAUGCACUGGAGAAAUCAAAAAAUCUGCUCGCUGCAGAAGAUAGAUGACAGCAUUGUCCACUCCCAGACGAGGCUGGUAGGCAAACUGCAGAGGGUCCA